CCAUGUUCAUCGCACACGCCAUUAGACCCAUAUAUUUACAUCUCUUUGUGAGAUUCACAAGUCAUGAUUGGGGAUUUACAUGAAGCAGGAAUUUCUAAUGUAACUGAAAGAAAAGGAAUGACUGAAAUAGAAGUUGUCAAAGUCAAAAAGAUAAAACCUCAAAGGCUAUUCACGUUUUUCCUUCUCAUACCUCUCCACCAUCUACAGGAGUCAUCUCUUCUUUCUUUCUCCUCUAGUCCUUCCAUAGUGCGUCAUCCAUACUCCUAUAGAAACCUUGUGAUCAACUAACUAUUCAUGUACCAGUCAGUAGAACCAACCAAUGACUAUAAACGUAAUUACUAAUUAUAGGAAGCUCGAGAGUAUAGAAAACAAAUAAAUUAAUAAACUUUCAGAUUUUUCACCUUAUUUAGUUGUUAGUUGAAAAAAACACACGUUAGCAAUAUCAAGUAUUUUGUUAUAUGUUUGAUGUGGUUGUAGGCUUGACACACCAUAGUUAAAAUCAUAGAUUUGGAAUCAAUGUAUUUUAAUUUUAGAAGUACGGUGAAUAUAUACACACACUUACUUAUGGUUUGGGAGAUAUUUGAUACAUAUGGGAAUAUUUUAAGCCUACGUGAGAUUCAUAUACAUGCAAAUAUAGUGAUUCGAUACAAAGGAGCGAAAUUUUAGGAUUUUUGAUUCCUCUCUCUCGCUGGUUUUGAUGGUUUUGGAGUCCAUCUUUCACAAAGGCCAACUCUAUCAUUGGCUGGCGCCGCUUCGUUUGGGGACCUGUUAGGAUUAUAGUAGGGUUUCCUCCGCUCCAAAUCUCCCUCUUGUAGGAGCAACAGGUACAACUUUCCUUUUUCAUAGUUUUUUCCCUUCACAGUUCCUUUGCCUGUCCCCGGUAAUGGUCUUUUCGUCCGUUGUGUUGUGUAAUAUAUUAACAUAUAAUUUUUUUACGCUUUUGCGUUUUUUUAGUGAUGUGACGAUGAUGUAUAUGGACCGUGUGUUCUCAAUUGUAUACUUUCAAAGGAACUAGUACCAUUCGUAUUGUUGAGAGGAUAAACACACAAGCGUUUAAAGUUUUUAACAUUGAUGAAGGGGUAGUAAACACGCGCUGCAAAAAGGUGAGACAAGGUAAAGCCGAGAGACGAGUGGUAUUAAGUUCGCUCAAAAAUAAAGUUAUAAAACCAGGGAAGCAAAGGCGGCCCGGGAAAAAAAAGAACCCAUCGCGGCCACCCGCCUCGUUCGCUUCCAUCCUCUCCGCAGUCCGCACCCGCGCGCGCGCGCUCGACUCCCGCACCAGCCGCGUCAUGGCGCCAUUCCAGCUGCGCUUCGGCCUCCGGAUGUCCCCCUCGCGCUCCUCCGACGAGGAGGAGGAAGACGACGAGGACGAGGAAGGGUUCGAGUACGAGGAGAUACUGAGCGACGACGGGACGGACUCGCCGCCGCCGCUGAUGAUGCAGGCGGAGAAGGGAGGGGGAGGGCUGGUCGGGGCGGUGGUGGGGGCGCUGCGGAGGUCGCUGGUGAUGUGCAGCGCCGGGAAGGUCGGGGAGGAGGAGGACAGCGAGGACGAGGAAGAGGAGGGGAUGGAGAUCGGGCGGCCCACGGACGUGCGGCACGUCUCCCACGUCACCUUCGACCGCUUCGGCGGCUUCCUCGGCCUCCCCGCCGACCUCGAGCCCGAAGUUCCCAGCCCCACGCCCAGCGCCAGGUGAGCUCGCCGGCGCUAACUCUCUGCAAUUCCUCUGUUUCUUCUACUCUUCGGUCUCUCUCUUUCAGUUUUCUGAGGAUUUUACCUGAAAGAAGCUAGUAGCUACGUACUCUACAUACCCAAAUAUUCUUUGGUACUUGUAUUUUUCAAUUUCACGCAGUGUAUUUUUCAAUUUCACGCAGAAAUAUGUGUUAGUAAAUUUGUUGUUUUAUCCUUCUCUGUUCUGUGUUCUCCAAUGCAAUUAGCGUAUAACCUCUUUACAAAAUAUAUUGUGUUCAUAGAAAGGCUCCCAAGAAAGUUGAUAGUACUAAUAUGAUGUUUCAGAACGAUGAUAGUGAGCUUUGGUUUCUUUUCUAGUAUGUUUAGUUGAUCGCUCAGAUGAUACAGGGUAGAAAGAGGGCGAUUUGUUUAAGGAUGUAAGAUUAAUUUAUUCCACAAGUGGAUCUAGUAAUUAAAAAAGGACAAGUAGUACCUUUUUAAUAAAAAGUUCAGUUCUUAAUUCUAGUAUGCGGUUAUAUAGUUAGAUUGCUGAGUCAAGAAGUACAUGCCAUCAAACAAGGAAUGGAAGUAUGGAACACUAUGAAGGUAUGUGAAGGUAUACGAUUCUGAAGAUAUAUGAGGGCAUAAGAGAAGAAUAACUCAUAUGUAGGAUUUGGUACAAUACUACCAUAUGACGGCCAUGGGUUGAACUUUCAACGGAUCAGACUUGAGUUACUUCGUUCUGUGCUUGAGCUUUAAGCAACGGGGCUGUUUGAGGUGGUUGGCCAGCAUGAGCAACAAAUGGGAAUCUUCAAACCUAUCUUUUUUAUUUUGGAUUAGUUCUCCUGUACUUUGCAUCAUCAUAUAUAGUAAUGUUCUGUGAAGUUUGUCCUUUUGCAUUUACAAAUAUCAUUUACACCAUCUUUUUAAGGUUGUUAACGUCAAAUCAGUAUUUGAUGUACAACCUAGUUAAAUGAGCUAGGAAUAUAAGACAUUGUCCUGUUGCUACUGCUGUUAUGUCAUAAUCUCUUUUUUACCCCUUUAACUUGUAGUGGUUACAGAAGUGAAGAUUCAAAGUUUAUUCACCUUAACUACGAUCCUUCCCUCCUUUUUCUUUUUCUUUUUUACCGUGAAACAGUAGGGGAGGCCUCUACCGUAUAUUAAUUUUCGAAAAGUUUAUGUACAUGAUACUUAACAAUUUCCAUGUCUAAUUUUCCAUGCAGUGUAAAUGUAUUUGGUGUUUCACCAACCUCUUUGCAAUGUUCAUUUGAUCACAAAGGAAAUAGCGUGCCCACAAUACUGUUGAUGAUGCAGAGGAAGUUGUAUGAACGAGAGGGACUUAAGGUAUGGCCACCGCAACCUAACGAUUAGCAUUAGAAAAGUCAGUAUUCAAGCCUUCGGAAUACUUAUCCAUUGUGUUCUUACUUCUUAGAUCGAAGGGAUCUUCAGAAUUAACGCAGAGAAUAGCCAGGAAAUCUGUGUCAGGAAACAACUAAACAGUGGUGUGGUUCCAGAUGAGGUUGACUUAC
rnacentral:lncRNA from 1 species